rnacentral:rRNA from 1 species
UUCGCAAUGCCCGAAAGGGUGACGAAGCGACGCCGCGUGUGGGAAGAAGGCCUUCGGGUUGUAAGCCACUGUCGGGAGUUAAGAAAUGCAAGGAUAUUAAUAGUGUCUUUGUUUGACUAAGGCUCCGGAGGAAGCCACGGCUAACUCUGUGCCAGCAGCCGCGGUAAUACAGAGGCGGCAAGCGUUGUUCGGAAUUAUUGGGCGUAAAGAGCACGUAGGCGGCUAUGUAAGUCGGUUGUGAAAGCCUUCCGCUCAACGGAAGAACAGCAUCCGAUACUACAUGGCUUGAGUGCGGGAGGGGAGGGUGGAACUUCUGGUGGAGCGGUGAAAUGCGUAGAUAUCAGAAGGAACGCCGGCGGCGAAAGCGGCUCUCUGGCCCAUAACUGACGCUGAGUGUGCGAAAGCUAGGGGAGCAAACGGGAUUAGAUACCCCGGUAGUCCUAGCCGUAAACGAUGGGCACUAAGUAGAGGGGUUUU